rnacentral:rRNA from 1 species
UCAGUUGUCUUAUAAUUGAAGACUGGAAUGAAUGGUUAAACGAAAUUAGAGCUGUUUCAUUUGUAUUUAUUAGAAAUUGGCUUUUAAAUGAAGAGAUUUAAAUUUGAUUAAGGGACAAGAAGACCCUAUUGAGCUUUAAAUAAUUUUGAGGGUUAAAGUUAUUAUAAAGAUCUAUGAUCUUUAGUAUUUUUUUAGUUGGGGCGACUAAGGAACAGGAGAAGCUUCCUUUAUUUAUUUGAUUGAUAAAUUUUGAUCCUGUAUUACUGAUUAAGAGAGAUAGUUACCAUAGGGAUAACAGCAUAAUCUUCUUGGAGAGUUCUUAUUAAAAAGGGGGGUUGUGACCUCGAUGUUGGACUAAAAUAUCCUAAGGGUGUA